GAUGAACGCUGGCGGCGUGCUUAACACAUGCAAGUCGAACGGAAAGGCCCAAGCUUGCUUGGGUACUCGAGUGGCGAACGGGUGAGUAACACGUGGGUGAUCUGCCCUGCACUUCGGGAUAAGCCUGGGAAACUGGGUCUAAUACCGGAUAGGACGAUGGUUUGGAUGCCAUUGUGGAAAGUUUUUUCGGUGUGGGAUGAGCUCGCGGCCUAUCAGCUUGUUGGUGGGGUAAUGGCCUACCAAGGCGUCGACGGGUAGCCGGCCUGGGAGGGUGUACGGCCACAUUGGGACUGAGAUACGGCCCAGGCUCCUACGGGAGGCAGCAGUGGGGAAUAUUGCACAAUGGGCGCAAGCCUGAUGCAGCGACGCCGCGUGGGGGAUGACGGCCUUCGGGUUGUAAACUCCUUUCGCUAGGGACGAAGCGUUUUGUGACGGUACCUGGAGAAGAAGCACCGGCUAACUACGUG
rnacentral:rRNA from 1 species